rnacentral:rRNA from 1 species
UACGGAGGGUGCGAGCGUUGCUCGGAAUCACUGGGCGUAAAGCGUACGCAGGCGGGUCAUCAAAUCGGGUGUGAAAGCCCGGGGCUCAACCCCGGAAUUGCAUUCGAAACUGGCGACCUUGAGUACGGGAGAGGGAGGUGGAAUUCCUGGUGUAGAGGUUAAAUUCGUAGAUAUCAGGAGGAACACCGGUGGCGAAAGCGGCCUCCUGGCCCGAUACUUACGCUCAUGUACGAAAGCAUGGGGAGCAAACAGG